rnacentral:lncRNA from 1 species
UCAUGGCUUAGUACCUAUGUUGGACAAUUCACAGCCACAUGUAACUCCAGCUCCAGGAGGAUUCAAUACCCUUGAUCUCAGUAGUCACCUGCAUAGAGGAUAUUAGCAAAUCGACGGCAUCAGCUACGGGCAUGAACACCACCCUGCUCCUUACACUGAAAGGGAUAGUACUUCUGGCUUCUAGUGCCAUGCCCCGAAAUAGAUUCUUAAAAGUGUUUCAAUGGAGAGGAAGCAGUGGGUGGAAAUACCAGAAGCCAUGUCUGUAUGAUCCGGAGCCAGGAAGUUUGUCAGAACUGCUGUCUGUUAGGAAAGCAUCUUGAGAGACCAUGCUUCUUGACAAAGUUCACAGAGCGGUCUGAAGAAAGCCAAGAGUGGCCCAUCAGGCAUCUCCUCUGUUGUGAACCAGACUUUGUGAGAGAAAGCCAUGCCCUUCCCAUCUUCCUUCGAAGGAAAGAGCCUACUAACAGUAACGAGACUUCAAGCCAACUGACCCGUUGCUGGCAGGGCUGGCUGUGUAGGAAGCCCCGGUGCCUAUGAAUGCCCUGAUACCCAUGGUGAAUGUAAGGGUAAAAUGUUUCCAGGUUCUUGACCUCUUAACCAAAGAACAGAAAUUAAAAACCGAUACAAAUUUACAAAAGUCACAAGGAAACGUCAUUUAAAGUAAAAGGAUAGAAAAGACCAGAAUACACUACAAGAAUCCAUGGGCCUCACGAGUGGAGGUGCUCAAGGGCCCCGAUUAUUGUUGGGACUUCCUUUUACUGGAUUAAAAGAAGGAAGGCUUUGGUGACCAGGGGAAUCUUGAGGGUGGUUCUCUGAUUUGACUGGCAGGUUAAGUCAUAUGAUCAUUUUUCUACUGUGCAUGCCUCUUCCCAAAAUGCAUCUGAUUUUAAUCAAGUGCUUGCCCACUUAGACACAGUAUCAAGGGCAGAGGGAGACGUACUUGG